AGGAUUACGCUUGCCCCGGCUUGCCCUCAUCUACAAUGAUGCCAAUUGUGCUACAUUCAUCAACAUAAUAGCUUCCUCAUGUCAAGGACGGUCAAGCAAUCCGCAAUUACACUUAAAGAUAUGUGAGAUGAGAUUGAGAAGCCCCCAGGGCCUAAGAGAUUCCUCCGUAAAAGGUGGAAGAUGCUGAUUUGCCCUGCAACACAGGAACUUCAGAAGCUGACACUGGAACAGCUUGUAAACCAGGGUGACGCAUCGAUUUUGUUACUUGGGUAUAUGUGAGGGGCCUUAUAUUUAUCGGGCACACAUAUAUGCAAUAAACAUAGAUAAUGUCA